rnacentral:lncRNA from 10 species
GAGAUGGAGUCUUGCCCAGGCUGGUCUCAAAUUCCAGAUCUCAAAUGAUCCUCCCUUUGGCCUCCCAAAGUGCUGGGAUUACAGGUUUCUACUGAGAAAUUUGCUGAUAGCUUUAUGGAAAUUUCCUUAUAUGUGUUUUCCAUGUAACCUCAUUCUUCUGGACAUGGGACAAAAUCCUGGGACUCACCAAACAGCCAGUGUGAAAGAAGCUGUAAAGCUGUAGUCCUCCCGUACUCUGUUGGCAACAGGUGGCUGCCCCACAAGACAGGAAGUGGCGGUGGCUCUUGGCCAGCCCAGGUGCUGCAGGCCUAGUGGGGCAAUGGGAUCGAACAAGCUGGAACAUGCCCCUGUUUGCCAAAGAAAGGCUGUGGAUGGCAGGAACGAACGAACUGCAACAUGAACGAGCUGCAGCCCUUCUGGGGCCCACACCUCGGGACUGCCCUAGCUAGAACUGUAACACGCUGUAACACCCUCUUUGGGGCUCUGGGGUGGCUGGCAUAUCUCAGUUUUUUGGGUUCCACCGCAUUCGCCUCGUUUAGAUGCUGGCGCCUAAAGCAGAAGCUGCUUUGCAGUACACCUGGUUCAGCUACAGCCUUGCACAGAGCUGGUGACUGGAGCAGCCACACCACCACAGCAGUUGGCACAACUGGCUGGGCACCAUGGCUGAACCCUGCACUGAAUCACUCUCACACCCCUCACUGCUCCACGCCAGGGUUGUCUGUGGUGGAUGUGAGAUCUGGGCCAGCGAGCCUGGAGCUGAGCACAGCCUGCUGGUCAGAUUGGGUGGUCAUGAGCGAAACUCUAGCAGAGGCACCCCUGGUCACGGAGGUCUCCAGCUGGUGAAGCACCACCUGAAAGAAUCCUAUGUAAUUUAGACUAAGGCAUUACCAGAAUGGCAUUCUUGAAGAAGUUAAAAAAGGUAGUAUAAUGAAAGCAGCACUGCUUUGUAGCCAAGAGAUUAUCAUUUUAAUCCUUCCUGUAAAAUUUUUUACCCUACCCAUGUUCUUUUACUUCCCCUGUCUCUCACUGACUUAUCCAUGAAAUUAGGGGUUGACAGAAGAUAAUCCCUGUGGUCCCAUACAGCUCUAAUUGUCUAUGAUUCCAUGAAUUUCUGGACUAGGACACUUGUCUGUAACUAUUACAUUGUUUCUCCUUCAAGUAAUGAAAAUAUCUGUAAUUAGAAUCCAUCAUUUUUUAAAUGUUUCUUGUAUAAUUAUAUUCAAUGCUAAAAAUAAAAAUACAUACAUAUAUGAAC